rnacentral:rRNA from 1 species
UUGAACGCUGGCGGCAGGCCUAACACAUGCAAGUCGAGCGGAUGAAGGGAGCUUGCUCCUGGAUUCAGCGGCGGACGGGUGAGUAAUGCCUAGGAAUCUGCCUGGUAGUGGGGGAUAACGUCCGGAAACGGGCGCUAAUACCGCAUACGUCCUGAGGGAGAAAGUGGGGGAUCUUCGGACCUCACGCUAUCAGAUGAGCCUAGGUCGGAUUAGCUAGUUGGUGGGGUAAAGGCCUACCAAGGCGACGAUCCGUAACUGGUCUGAGAGGAUGAUCAGUCACACUGGAACUGAGACACGGUCCAGACUCCUACGGGAGGCAGCAGUGGGGAAUUUGGACAAUGGGCGAAAGCCUGAUCCAGCCAUGCCGCGUGUGUGAAGAAGGUCUUCGGAUUGUAAAGCACUUUAAGUUGGGAGGAAGGGCAGUAAGUUAAUACCUUGCUGUUUUGACGUUACCAACAGAAUAAGCACCGGCUAACUUCGUG